rnacentral:tRNA from 1 species
AAGGGAGACCUAAUUCAGGUAUGGGACGAAAAAAAAGUAGUCGCUACCAAGAAUCAAUCCCAAAAGGUCGGAGCGAGGUAUGAGGCUUUCAAACUAGGUUCUGGGUUCAAACAGGACCUGAAUCAGGAACAAGGGCUAUUAGCUCAGGUGGUUAGAGCGCACCCCUGAUAAGGGUGAGGUCCCUGGUUCGAGUCCAGGAUGGCCCACCUGCACAGGUGGCAAAAACAAGAGAAGCGAGGAAUCAGCACCUUAUCUUAUCUAUAUAUAAGAGAGAAUGCUGGCUCUGAGUAAAGAGUCCAGAGGAACCUUGAAAACUGCAUAGAGCUAGGUGAAAAAGCCAAAAAAGAAGACCGCAA